GGCUUUAUAGUCAAAAUGAUAUAAAAUUGCAAAUUUUAAGGUAUAUAUAUAUAUAAAUUAUAUUAAAGCUU
rnacentral:tRNA from 1 species